GGGGUUGUAGCUCAGAGGUAGAGCGCUCUUCUGGCAUGUGUGAGGCACUGGGUUUGAUCCUCAGCACCACA
rnacentral:tRNA from 1 species